rnacentral:rRNA from 1 species
CAAAUUUGAAAUCUGGCACCUUCGGUGUCCGAGUUGUAAUUUGAAGAAGGUAACUUUGGAGUUGGCUCUUGUCUAUGUUCCUUGGAACAGGACGUCACAGAGGGUGAGAAUCCCGUGCGAUGAGAUGCCCAAUUCUAUGUAAAGUGCUUUCGAAGAGUCGAGUUGUUUGGGAAUGCAGCUCUAAGUGGGUGGUAAAUUCCAUCUAAAGCUAAAUAUUGGCGAGAGACCGAUAGCGAACAAGUACAGUGAUGGAAAGAUGAAAAGAACUUUGAAAAGAGAGUGAAAAAGUACGUGAAAUUGUUGAAAGGGAAGGGCUUGAGAUCAGACUUGGUAUUUUGCAAGCCUUACCUUCGUGGUGGGGUCCCCUGCAGUUUACUGGGCCAGCAUCGGUUUGGAUGGUAGGAUAAUGACUUGGGAAUGUGACUUUGCUUCGGUAAAGUGUUAUAGCCCUUGUUGAUACUGCCUGUCUAGACCGAGGACUGCGUCUU